rnacentral:tRNA from 1 species
GUCACUGUGGCAGAGUGGUAUUGCCUAUCUCAGAAUGAGGUACGACUUGUGAGGUUCAAAUCCUCACCAGUGGCU